GAUGAACGCUGGCGGCGUGCCUAAUACAUGCGAGUCGAGCGAACGGACGAGAAGCUUUCUUCUCUGAUGUUAGCGGCGGACGGGUGAGUAACACGUGGAUAACCUACCUAUAAGACUGGGAUAACUUCGGGAAACCGUAGCUAAUACCGGAUAAUAUUUUGAACCGCAUGGUUCAAAAGUGAAAGACGGUCUUGCUGUCACUUAUAGAUGGAUCCGCGCUGCAUUAGCUAGUUGGUAAGGUAACGGCUUACCAAGGCAACGAUGCAUAGCCGACCUGAGAGGGUGAUCGGCCACACUGGAACUGAGACACGGUCCAGACUCCUACGGGAGGCAGCAGUAGGGAAUCUUCCGCAAUGGGCGAAAGCCUGACGGAGCAACGCCGCGUGAGUGAUGAAGGUCUUCGGAUCGUAAAACUCUGUUAUUAGGGAAGAACAUAUGUGUAAGUAACUGUGCACAUCUUGACGGUACCUAAUCAGAAAGCCACGGCUAACUACGUG
rnacentral:rRNA from 1 species